ensembl:lncRNA
GGGCGCCCUCUGUCGGUUUCAGUUGCGUCUAGAUUUACGCUAGCAAUGCACCUGCGUCAGACUUAUCAGUUCAAUGGAGGAACCAUUAUUUUCUGUUUACGGGGAUUUCGUCGACUGGUCUCUCCAAACUGCUUGGGAACAGAAUGACGCCGAGGUGGACAGUGCGUUUGGAGACUGGAGUUCUGCCUGUAAUGGCAACAAGUCGGAUGCAGUUGAAAGAUCUUCAUCUCUGUCUUCACCCAUGGACAUGGACAUCUCUAAACUCUCAACAAAGCUGGAGAAUGGCAAUGUGAAGAAAUCAUGUGUAGUUUUCCAGGAGUGCUUCCAGGUCUUGGGUGAAUCUAAAGAGACCAACUGUACUGUACGAUCUCUGUCCCAGCUGCUAGAAAACACACAGCCUUUUCAACCAACAGCUACAAUAUGUGACUGUGGCAGCUUGUGGAGCCAUCUGGUGGCUGAGCCCAGCAGGCUGAGGCUGUCAGAGCCAAAGCCCAGCUUACACUGCCACAGCCACAGCAGAAUGGUUUCUGCCCUCAGAAUCACACCCUCAAAUUGCAUCUCUGACCAGUGGGAGUCUGUCUUUUUGGAAGAUCAUGAAGAAACUACAGAGACCUCUUGCCCCCCUGCUGCUGCUCUCAUCAAAACCAAGCUGCUGGCCCCCUCCUCCUGCCAUGGUGACACCCCAGCUUUCCUCUACCAAAUCUCCCAGCAGUGGCUGACUCAAUGCAGCAUCCAGCUGCAGCCUCAGCACCACAAGAAGCCUCCUGCACUGAACUAUGGAGAAGGAUAAGAUGAAGAUGCUGCUUAGCAUAGCCCUACUGUACUGUUGUAGAUGGAUGAAACGGGUUGGGUUGAUACCCGGGUGAGAACAAAGUAUACACUUUUCGCAACAUUUUAUUUAUACAGAUUGUAAAGAAAGUACAUUCUAUGAUAUUGUGUAUUUAGUUUGCAGGCGUUUUCCUGGUUUUAUAUAUAAUAUUUUGAUACGGAGUGCAGUUACAGUGAUACUAUAAAAUGUUCUAUAAAUGUAUUGAGUUAUUUAUUCAGUGUAACACCUGUUUUAUACCACUAUUGUCAAGAGCAGAGGGAACAAUGCAAAUCUUUGGAAGUCACAGCACUCCACUAGAGGGCAUACUGGCUUCCUCAUAAGUCCCAACCCCCAUUUUGCAAACAUACAGUGCAUUCAGAAAGUAUUCAGACCCCUUGACUUUUUCCACAUCUUGUUACGUUACAGCCUUAUUCUAGAAUUGAUUACACAUUUUGUUUCUCAUCAAUCUACACACACUACCCCAUAAUGACAAAGCGGAAACAGGUUUUUAGAAUUGUUGGCAAAGGUAUUAAAAACAGAAAUACCUUAUUUACUUGUGCCGAAUACAACAUGUGUAAACCUUCAGACCAUGCACCUCAACAAUGAACACCUCAAGAAACAAGCUUUGUCCAUAUAUUUUGUUUUGUAGAAUACCCAACUCCAAGUCUCACUGUAGAAACCUGGCUUGCGAUCUAGGGCAGUGCAUGGACCCAGAAAAAAAGUAAUUGGGUGUGUCUUCCCACUGUGGAUACAUUUUUAUGGAAAUUUGGAUUGCUUGUGCUUUAACUAUUUAUGGCAUCACAUUAUUGGUGUCCUCCACUUCUUAAUAUUUCCUUAGAUUGGUCCUCUGUUUUUCUUAACCUGCCUUAAUACUCAAAACCAUAGACAUGUGUCAUGUCAUUGGCCAUUUUGUAAGUAAGACUGCAGGGCAUCAUGGAGCUAAUCAGCACAAACCAGUAUAACAGAGAGGUUAUUACAUGUGUACAACUGCAUCUCAGACAGUUCUCUUACAUUUCAACCACCAGGAUUUGCUUUUCCAGACAGAGAAAACAAGAGGUUAGUGAAGGUGCACACUCCUCCCAAAUGUCACUUGUUUGGCUGGCGGGUUGAGUCUGUGAAUAGAAUUGAAAUACUGAGAGAAAAACCGUCACCUUUUUACAAGUAGGCCCCUCCUACAUGACAAGUGAUGUAGGCCCUACACUCCCCCCCCCCCUCUCUCUCUCUACUAUCUCCUCUCAGCUAGUGCACUAGCGGGAUGUCAGAGUGAAUUUAGAUUACAUCUCGUUGCAGUGCAGUUGCGGGAAAAAGGCAAAGGGACGGAAGGAAGGAUGAUCUUGGGUUGUAUUGUGCCUUAUAUGUCACACACACAGAGGAAGGCAUUGGUGCAUUGGACCAUCUUUUUUUGGGGUGGGAUGGUCAAAAUAAAUGAAUAAUAAUACAAAUAAUUGACUUUUUUAAGGGAGAUGGCCCUUGGGCCUGUUAAGAUGAUGAUUUUUGUGCAAUUUCUCUAUUGUCAUAUUAAUAUAUUUGAGCAUUUGCCUGAUCAGUGGACAACGUCCAGUCCCCCCUACCAAGAUAGGCCUGCCCGGUUUUCUGAUUGGCUGAUGUGGCGCAAAAUUCACGUUCAAAGUCAAACACACAUCAGCAAAGAGACCUUGCUCUGACUCUCUUGUCAUUAGUCAGACCAGAUCACGGCUCGUAAAAAAAAAACAGAAUGGUAGUACCGAAAAAAGUUAAGAGACCAAAAUAAGGCUUGAGGCUACAGCUGCUUAAUGUAUGAAAUUAACCAACUCAUUUUCUAAAAGAUCUGGUUCGGCUGGUCCAAGUGUUGUGACAGAUGCUGCUACAGAAGACAGUGCAGUCGAGGUAUGGAGAAAACCUACCUACUGUGUUACUCUUUCUCAGUCUUCAUCCAAAUUCCGACAGGUUUUAAUGCGAAUAUUCAAAAAUCAGCAUAACAACUCCAAGGGGUUUCCAUCAAAUGGACUUGUUGCGGAUAAAAGGCUGUGCGUGAUGAUGUAGUGCACAAAAAUAUACCUUUUCCAUUUCAUUUUCAAUUUAACUGAUGAUUUUCUCACAAAAAAAGUAAAUUAUACAGCGAGUGUGCCCACUGGUAUUGGCUCGUGCGCACUAACCAACAGCUUGCAGACACUGUGCAAGUAGGCCAAUAGCCUAUGGAUGAGAUUAUUAUGGACAAGAUUAUUUCUAUUUGUCAAAUGGCAUCGAUUAUCAUGUCACCAGAAUAAGACCCUUUAUGUUUAUUGGAAAGGAGCACAUCACCUUGCACUUUUCACCAUCCUGUGAAGUUCAUAAUUUAUACUGAACAAAAAUAUAAACCCAACAUGUAAAGUGUUGGUCCCAUGUUUCAUGAGCUGAAAUAAAAGAUACCCGAAAUGUUCCAUUCACACUAAAA